CAUUCUGUGGGUUGCCUUUUCACUUUGUUGAUGAUUUCCUUUGCUGUGCAGAAGCUUUUUAACUUGAUGUCAUCCCAUUUGUCUAUUUUUGCUUUGGUUGUCUGUGCUUGUGGGGUAUUACUCAAGAAAUCUUUGCCCAGUCCAACAUCCUGGAGAGUUUCCUCAACGUUUUCUUUAAGUAGUUUCAUAGUUUGAGGUUUUAGAUUUAAGUCUUUAAUUCAUUUUAUUUGGUUUUUGUAUAUGGCAAGAGAUAGGGGUAUAGUUUCAUUCUGCUGCAUAUGGAUAUCCAGUUUUCACAGCACCACUUAUUGAAGAGACUGUCCUCACCCCAGUGUAUAUUCUUGGCACCUCUGUCAAAAAUGAGUUCACUGAAGACGCAUGGAUUUAUUUCUGGGUUUUCUAUUCUGUUCUAUUGGUCUAUGUGUCUUUUUUUAUGUCAGUACCAUGCUGCUUUUGUUACUAUAGCUCCAUAGGAUAACUGGAAGUCAGGACUAUAGAAGCCAAAUUCCAAUGUGAAAAUGCACCUUUCAAUUGCACAGACUAGGUCAUAAUGGAGGUGACAGUCAUAAAAGAUUUUCUAGCUCUCAGCAGAGCUGUAAACCGGGACCCCUCAUCCAGGCAGACAGCACAGAAUCUGAAAAUCUGCCUAUCAAAAGCAUCAUUCAAGCCACAAGGCUCUUCUGUUCCCGGUAAAAGGCAGGCAGGAAAAGAGGAGACAAAGAAAAACGUUUAUGAUCUGAAGAUAUGGCCCAAAUCACCAACCACGCAAUUUGUUUUCUGAGGAAAGGAAAGACCUGGUGCAACUUUAUACAAAGAGCCCAUCAUUCAUCCUUGAUCGGGGAUAUUUUCUCCUCCCAGCCACUAAUCUGCUCUCUGCUCUUACAUUUGUACAUUUUUAGAACGAUAUUAAACAUUGGAAGAGUCAUUCAGGGAACUAAA